rnacentral:rRNA from 1 species
UACGGGGGGGGCAAGCGUUGUUCGGAAUUACUGGGCGUAAAGGGCUCGUAGGUGGCCAACUAAGUCAGACGUGAAAUCCCCAGGCUCAACUUGGGAACUGCGUCUGAUACUGGAUGGCUUGAAUCCGGGAGAGGGAUGUGGAAUUCCAGGUGUAGCGGUGAAAUGCGUAGAUAUCUGGAGGAACACCGGUGGCGAAGGCGACAUCCUGGACCGGUAUUGACGCUGAGGCGCGAAAGCCAGGGGAGCAAACGGG